GUGUAUGCACUAAGCUGUGUGACGUACUUCCUGUUUCAAAUAAUACAGCUCGGUUGCUUCCGGUCUGUGUGUUUAUCGCGCUAGCCUGCUGACUUUGAUACCGUAAACAUGGAUCAAGACCGCAAACAUCUAAAAACUGGACAUUUUCAGAGGCAGGAGACAACCUACGCAGAGCACUGAUGUGUCCCCCACUGUACAGCGUCAGCAAAAUUCAACGGGGUAUUAAGUUUUCAUGGCUUUCCGAGCCAAACUGACGUGAGGAGUCGAUGGAUUGUGAACAUACGCCGGGAUGCAUAUGUCAUCACCACUCACUCCAAGGUCUGUAGCAGACACUUUAGUCCCGACAAGUUGAUUGAGCCAACUACUCCUCAGGGUCGAAGGAGACUUGCAAAAGGUGCCGAAGCGACCCUUUUUGAGUGGAACCAGUAUACAGUCGAAACCCCAAGGCGCGGCGUGUGGGAGAGAGUUGAUCGGUUCGUCGAAACUGCCCCUCCGGAAGAUGAAGUUGAUCUCCUAUUCAACGAUCAAGACUACUGCUCUCUCUGAACCGACUGCCAUGGAUAUGUCCGCAUCCGCUGCUGAAAGCGUCUCAAAUGAAGUACAGGAGCUGAGAAAGGAGCUACAGGAGUUACGUCUCCAGCGAGAGUUUGGACUGCAGCGGUUUGCUGGCUCCGACGCAGACAUCCGAAUUUACACAAGGGAAGUCACUUUUUCACAGUCACAUUUUUUGUACUAGUCUUUUAUUAGCCUAGUCCCUACGUGACGGGGAUAUGUGUCAGUCAGGGACAUUGUUGGUUAGAAAAUAGCUUUACGUUACAGAUUAAUUUAUAGUACUGUACCAAAUUUUUUCUUAAUAGGUCUGUGAAUGAUUAAUAGGACACAAGUAGUGGCAUGUUGAGAGAUGGUGUAAUUGGAGUUUGGAGACCACACCAAUAGUACAAAAACAAACAUUUAUAAUACAGAUUUGUGUAAAGACUUACAGAGACGUGUUUCCAGUUCAAGUCUACAAAAGUUUAUUUUUAAAUGGUUGAAAAAAGUCAUGUUAUUAUUCUAUGAGAUGAAAAUAGGAGCACUGAAGCGCCAGCGCCAGAAUGUGACCGUCUCCAACUCCACCAAUGCUGGUCCUAGAAAAAAAUACUAUUAAUAAACAAUUGUAAAAAUGUAUGAAUUGAGCAGGUAACACCCUACUUAUCUACAUGCAAGUACACGGCAAACCACCAAACCGCGCCUCCCAAAGAUACGGCCCGGACAAGAACACUACUCUAAAAAGAGAGCACAGAGAACACAUUAGGGCAUUGGAUAUCCACACACAUCAGGUUGUCUUACAGGAAUUACUGUUGACAUUAUUUUGGUAACAAUGUAUACUUUUGAUGUACACUUCUAAUUGAACAUUUUUAUGCGAUGUCUUUUGUGAAUAGAUUUGCCAGCUACAACCAUCUGAUAGCUUUUUGGUCUUUGAUUGAGCCUUCUCUACAAGAUGGUCCGUGUUUCCAGAGCCAAAUCAGCUGCCCAGAAAAAAGAAGUGGUCGCACCUGCACGUGCAUCAACAGUACUUUAUAAGUAGUUACAGAUGUAAUUAUACGUAAUGCCAUUGCAUUUGUAUUGGUUGUUUUUGAGCUAUACUUUUUUUCUUUUCCUCUCAGAGACAGCUGCUCCAGCCCAUAGAUUAACUCUUUCUUUUUUCAUCCCUUGGCUGAUGAAUCACAAAGCUUGAUCUAAGAGAAAAAGGUAAAUCAUUAGAAAUAUAACCUCAGCAUCAUGGGUGUAAAAAACAACUUGUUUCUUAUGAAGGUAAGUACUUCAACUGUGCUAGAAAAAGCCUACCACCCUGAAUGCUUACUGUUAUAUUCUCUUCCUCUUAAAAUAAAGAUGUGUUUUUUUUUUUAAAGCGGACUCCAAGAAUCACAAUUAUUCCAAUGUACCUGUACUUCUGCUGUGCAAACGACAAUAAAUGUCUUGUUUAUUGAAAAGUUGUAGCCUUGUACUCAUUACCUUGACUAUAUUAAA